ensembl:snoRNA
UGGAACAGUGAUGACAAGUGAUUGAUGAAUCAUGGGUGAUGAGCAAUUUGUGUCUGGAUAUACAAGGUCCAA